rnacentral:rRNA from 1 species
AGAGUUUGAUCCUGGCUCAGGACGAACGCUGGCGGCGUGCCUAAUACAUGCAAGUAGAACGCACAGUUUAUACCGUAGCUUGCUACACCAUAGACUGUGAGUUGCGAACGGGUGAGUAACGCGUAGGUAACCUGCCUGGUAGCGGGGGAUAACUAUUGGAAACGAUAGCUAAUACCGCAUAAUAUUAAUUAUUGCAUGAUAAUUGAUUGAAAGAUGCAACUGCAUCACUACCAGAUGGACCUGCGUUGUAUUAGCUAGUAGGUGAGGUAACGGCUCACCUAGGCGACGAUACAUAGCCGACCUGAGAGGGUGAUCGGCCACACUGGGACUGAGACACGGCCCAGAC